GGCUGGCUAGCUCAGCUGGUUAGAGCGUGGUGCUAAUAACACCAAGGUCAUGGUUUCAAGCUCUCAUGCUGGCCA